rnacentral:rRNA from 1 species
CGCUAGCUACAGGCUUAACACAUGCAAGUCGAGGGGCAUCAGGAAGAAAGCUUGCUUUCUUUGCUGGCGACCGGCGCACGGGUGAGUAACACGUAUCCAACCUGCCCUUUACUCGGGGAUAGCCUUUCGAAAGAAAGAUUAAUACCCGAUAGCAUAAUGAUUCCGCAUGGUUUCGUUAUUAAAGGAUUCCGGUAAAGGAUGGGGAUGCGUUCCAUUAGGUUGUUGGUGAGGUAACGGCCCACCAAGCCUUCGAUGGAUAGGGGUUCUGAGAGGAAGGUCCCCCACAUUGGAACUGAGACACGGUCCAAACUCCUACGGGAGGCAGCAGUGAGGAAUAUUGGUCAAUGGGCGCUAGCCUGAACCAGCCAAGUAGCGUGAAGGAUGAAGGCUCUAUGGGUCGUAAACUUCUUUUAUAUAAGAAUAAAGUGCAGUAUGUAUACUGUUUUGUAUGUAUUAUAUGAAUAAGGAUCGGCUAACUCCGUGCCAGCAGCCGCGGUAAUACGGAGGAUCCGAGCGUUAUCCGGAUUUAUUGGGUUUAAAGGGAGCGUAGGUGGACUGGUAAGUCAGUUGCGAAAGUUUGCGGCUCAACCGUAAAAUUGCAGUUGAUACUGUCAGUCUUGAGUACAGUAGAGGUGGGCGGAAUUCGUGGUGUAGCGGUGAAAUGCUUAGAUAUCACGAAGAACUCCGAUUGCGAAGGCAGCUCACUGGACUGCAACUGACACUGAUGCUCGAAAGUGUGGGUAUCAAACAGGAUUAGAUACCCUGGUAGUCCACACAGUAAACGAUGAAUACUCGCUGUUUGCGAUAUACAGUAAGCGGCCAAGCGAAAGCAUUAAGUAUUCCACCUGGGGAGUACGCCGGCAACGGUGAAACUCAAAGGAAUUGACGGGGCCCGCACAAGCGGAGGAACAUGUGGUUUAAUUCGAUGAUACGCGAGGAACCUUACCCGGGCUUAAAUUGCAGUGGAAUGAUGUGGAAACAUGUCAGUGAGCAAUCACCGCUGUGAAGGUGCUGCAUGGUUGUCGUCAGCUCGUGCCGUGAGGUGUCGGCUUAAGUGCCAUAACGAGCGCAACCCUUAUCUUUAGUUACUAACAGGUUAUGCUGAGGACUCUAGAGAGACUGCCGUCGUAAGAUGUGAGGAAGGUGGGGAUGACGUCAAAUCAGCACGGCCCUUACGUCCGGGGCUACACACGUGUUACAAUGGGGGGGUACAGAAGGCAGCUAGCGGGUGACCGUAUGCUAAUCCCAAAAUCCUCUCUCAGUUCGGAUCGAAGUCUGCAACCCGACUUCGUGAAGCUGGAUUCGCUAGUAAUCGCGCAUCAGCCACGGCGCGGUGAAUACGUUCCCGGGCCUUGUACACACCGCCCGUCAAGCCAUGGGAGCCGGGGGUACCUGAAGUACGUAACCGCAAGGAUCGUCCUAGGGUAAAACUGGAGACU